CCUACGGGGGGCUGCAGUAGGGAAUCUUCCACAAUGGACGCAAGUCUGAUGGAGCAACGCCGCGUGAGUGAAGAAGGUUUUCGGAUCGUAAAGCUCUGUUGUUGGUGAAGAAGGAUAGAGGCAGUAACUGGUUUCUAUUUGACGGUAAUCAACCAGAAAGUCACGGCUAACUACGUGCCAGCAGCCGCGGUAAUACGUAGGUGGCAAGCGUUGUCCGGAUUUAUUGGGCGUAAAGCGAGCGCAGGCGGAAUGAUAAGUCUGAUGUGAAAGCCCACGGCUCAACCGUGGAACUGCAUCGGAAACUGUCAUUCUUGAGUGCAGAAGAGGAGAGUGGAACUCCAUGUGUAGCGGUGGAAUGCGUAGAUAUAUGGAAGAACACCAGUGGCGAAGGCGGCUCUCUGGUCUGCAACUGACGCUGAGGCUCGAAAGCAU
rnacentral:rRNA from 1 species